ensembl:lncRNA
CUGGGAUCCUCCUUCCCCCCAGCCUUUCUGCUGUCAGGAAAAGGGAUCUGGGCUUCUUUACUCAUCGAGGCUGCAGACACCUGCGUUCCUCAGCCCUUAGCAGGACACAGGAGUGGAGGAGAAGCCUGACAUGAUGCUCCUAUGCCAAGUACUCAGACGUUCCUCCCCCCCCUCCAGGGAAUAUCUCCACAGCAGGAGGAAAGGGAUGCAGCCGGGGCAGUUCCCAGCCUCAGUUAAUGUCACAUCCCUAGGGACACGGACAGCUGCAUGCAGGUCAGGUCCACCUUGCCCAUUGCAGAGGAGUUAAGACACUGGGCUGGGAAAGGAGGAAGCAGGAAUCUGUAUGCACUCACUAAGUCAUGGUGCAUCGCUGCUGCAGGGGGGCUGCUGAGUGUGCUGUGGCUUGUAUGGGGCACUGGGUUCCCUUGCUAGGUGGUGCUCCUUGGCCUCUAUUUCUCCUUCUGUCUGCUCCAGAAUCUCGCUUGAUUUGCCCCUCAGCAGAACAUGCUGCUGCAUGUUUAGGCUGAGAAAGCAAAACAGACAACACUGCAGCUGCUGGGUUUGGGGAAGGAAAGCUCUCAGUUUUGACUUCCAACCACAAAAUGCAUGCUGGAUUCUUCCUGACAGGAGUGACAAGAAACAGACCCAUGGAUCUUCUCUGGUUGCAGAAAGAGAGAGAGCACUGAAGAUACCUCAUGGCCCUUGUGUGCUGGGCCACGGGGCAGGCAGGGCUUAUGCGAGAUACCAAGCAAGAUGGGCGCUGAUAGGCUUACAGUCUGGAUAUGAAUGCUCUCAGAGUCUUUCUUUUAAAAGAGGACCAACAUUUCACAGGCAGGAAAAAGACCUGUUUGUGGACAGCAUGUCCUUGACUGUCUCAGAGAUGCUAGCACUGCUGAGUAGGAAGUGCUCUUUUGGAUCUAUUUGCUCUAUAAACAGAAACAAGGAAGGAAGAAACGAAGGAAGCAAGAAGAGAGCGACAUGGUGGAUGUGUCAUCAACAAAGCCACCCCUUACAAGGGUUCCCACAGCAUCUGAUUACAACCCAUGGCAGAGGGUGCAGAGACUUGGGCAGUGCGCAGGAGGGUUGCCUCAGCCUUGUGCCUCUUCCAAGGAGCUGCAGCACCAGGCUCGCAGGUGGAUGAGGAGCUUCUCCGGAGCUCCCAGAAGAAGCGGCACGGUCCCAUCAACGCUGUAAAAAUAGAGCCUUCUCAGUGGGAUCGCUGCUUCAGGCCGGUCCUUGUGAGCUUGUGGGCACCUGGCAGAAGUAGGAUGAGUGCUGCUGUGUGCAGAGCUCACAGAUGGUGUGCUGGCACUAAGCCCUGUGAAAGGUGUGUUCGGGGCUCCCGCCUGAGGCCUGCUUGGCGUGCCCUAGGCCAGCCCCCACCAAGUGCGCGCCCCUGGAUGCUGCGGGGGAUACGUGUGCUGUCUGCUGAGCGGAUCCGGACUAUCAGGUUGUACACAGCUUUUGCAAAGCCUCCUUUUCCAAAACUGACACUUCCUGAUCUAUCGGCUUUGAUGUCUUUGGCAGCAGCUGGGGAGUUGUGCGUCUCAGCGGUCAAAGUUUUGCGAGACAGCGCUGACCGCACUGCCUUCGGAUGCCGUCCCAUCCGUUUUCAUUUAGGGAGGAUUCAUUCACUCCAUGUCCCUCACUAUCGGCAGAUGCAGGAGGGCUGCUUUUUGGGAGGCAACAGCUUUUAGGGUCGUUUCCCUGCAGCCGCUUCGGACAAAGCCACCCUGGUCAGGUGCUCCCGUCCUCUUGCAGAUGCCACGGGACUGCCGAGCUCACCGCAGCCCGACAACCCAAGCGGGAAGCGGAGAGGAGCAAUGCCCUGCCCUGGCUCUGGAGGCUUCUGCGGGCAGCCGGGCGCCGGGCACCACCAGCACCAGUGCCUCCAUCAGCCCAAGCAGCACUCCCUAGGGAGGAGCCAGGGAAUCCCAGGCUCCGUUUCCUAGGGAAAGGCUACAACCUGGGGACGGUGCUGGCUGCCGGCCGCCCGCAGGUUCGCACCGCUUCCUGAGGAAGCGCUCAGUCACGUUUGG